UCUCUUCAUCUUCUCCAAACACACCCAUUGCCACCUCCAUUCACCCUCCUGCCACGUCGUUCGUCGCCGGACCACCCUACUUCCACGCCUCACGAACCACCCAGACCCCCAUGAACCAUCAAACAGACCCAUCUCCUCCGGCCAUCGCCAUCUUUCACGUCAACACCACCGGCUCUGUCGCCGGACCACCCUACUGUCUGUCCAUGAACGACCAGCGUCAUCCAUGGACAACUUGUCGACGUCUAUGGAAAACUCACCCUAACGACUAGCAGCCAGUCCACCACCAGUCGAACCUCCAUUGCCACUGCUGCUUCGUCUUCCUCACGUCCAGCCGAAGCAGUUCAUCAUCAACAACCAUAGCGGCCCUCUCCAAGAAAACACUAACCUACUGUUCCAUCGUCACUCCCCUCACCGUCAACGAGCAUCACCUCUAGUUCCACCACUGUCCGCCAUAACCAUCUCCUUCUUCACAUCCAACAAC
rnacentral:lncRNA from 1 species